rnacentral:rRNA from 1 species
UACGUAGGGUGCGAGCGUUAAUCGGAAUUACUGGGCGUAAAGCGUGCGCAGGCGGUUUUGUAAGCCAGAUGUGAAAUCCCCGGGCUUAACCUGGGAAUGGCAUUUGGGACUGCAAGGCUCGAGUGCGGCAGAGGAGACUGGAAUUCCUGGUGUAGCAGUGAAAUGCGUAGAUAUCAGGAGGAACACCGAUGGCGAAGGCAGGUCUCUGGGCUGACACUGACGCUCAUGCACGAAAGCGUGGGGAGCGAACAGG